rnacentral:rRNA from 1 species
UCGGGAAUUUUGGGCAAUGGGGGAAACCCUGACCCAGCAACGCCGCGUGAAGGAUGAAGUAUUUCGGUAUGUAAACUUCGAAAGAAUAGGAAGAAUAAAUGACGGUACUAUUUAUAAGGUCCGGCUAACUACGUGCCAGCAGCCGCGGUAAUACGUAGGGACCAAGCGUUGUUCGGAUUUACUGGGCGUAAAGGGCGCGUAGGCGGCAAUUCAAGUCAUCUGUGAAAUCUCCGGGCUUAACUCGGAACGGUCAGAUGAUACUGCUUUGCUAGAGUGCAGAAGGGGCAAUCGGAAUUCUUGGUGUAGCGGUGAAAUGCGUAGAUAUCAAGAGGAACACCUGAGGUGAAGACGGGUUGCUGGGCUGACACUGACGCUCAUGCACGAAAGCGUGGGGAGCAAACAGGAUUAGAUACCCCUGUAGUCCCUGAGCGGGCUGGCAAGGCGCAU